UUUGCCACUAGUACUUUCUAUGAAUCAUGUCUGAAUAAGUUUAAUAGACUCAAACAAACUAGGCUUCAGCUGGAGAAUAUCAGAAUGACACCGUUAUCAGGCAGAGAACCCAAAGCCGUGACAGUGAUUAUGCACUUGGAAUAUGUAAGAAUGUAAGACGUUAAGACCUGGUUGUCUUUUAAAUGUAUGGUGAAGAGAGGUUUGGACUUAAAAGACGAAGACGGAAUUAGAACUGGAGCAUACCGUUUCUACGUUCACUUGCAUAGAGAUGAGAACUCUGGUGAUUUGAUCCAUCUGCCUCCAAUUAUUCAAUUAGGGGCAAUCAGAGGAUAUGUUUUUUACCCGGGGCAACCAAAAACAUGCCGCAAAUGUGGCGGCAACGACCAUUUAGCCGUAGAGUGUGAAAAUGUGGUCUGUAGGAACUGUAACAGUGAAGAGCACAUCACAAGUGAAUGUCCUUUCCCGCGGAAAUGUAAUCUAUGUGGGGGUGAAGGACAUACCUUUAGGGCAUGCCCCCAAUCCUACGCCAAUAAAGUGAAAAGACCUCACCAACAGCAUUUAGAGGAGAUACCAAGCCAAUUGGCGGAAGUCUGCCAGCUGUUGAAGAUGUAAUUAACAAUCAAGUCAACGAGCUCCAGCAGGAAGAGGUUGAGGAUCAAACGACUUACAGCUGGGGUGGGGAACGAGCUGAAGUGCCCCCCCCCCAAGUGAUCACACAUGUGGACUUAACGACGGAGGAGAAGGAAGUACCUCAAAUAGAAAAGGAUCCUAAGAUACAGGAGGCGAUUCAGGAGGAGAUGGCCGUGCUCUCAGGUACUGAUACCAUUUCAGAGCCGUCGACAUCACAAGAGUGCAGAGACCUGCUUGAUUACAUGUUUUCUGAUAUUUCAACGAUGCAAUCAAACCAAACUGUAGCCGGAUGGGCUACUCGCCUUUCUUUUCUCUCUCUCGCUCGCUCGCUCUACUGCUCUCGCUCUCUCCUGCGCUCGCUCUCACUGCACAACUAGGUUAAUUGGGAACCCACCUGCAUAUUGAUUGCAGGCUGGCAUCAGGUAUAAAGCUAAGCCGGUGCUUCUCUGGAUUAUUCCUCCCAUGCAUUCAGCGCAAAGCAGCAGUAAAUGCUGGUACUCUGCGAUGGACUGAUCAGCAAGAGUAGAUCAUAUGACAGCCACAGGUAUGCUCUUGCUUAACCUCAGAUUCCCUCCCAGUAUUGGAAUGUACAGUAAUAGUUUUUGCGGCCUGUUGUAGCGCGGCAGUUUGUUUUAGUCCGGCGUUGCGGAGAGAGGUGCUCGUGUGAUCCCCACCAGCGAGAGUGUAGCGCCUCCGGUCCUGGGGGUUUGAUCGCUGCCUUCACCUCCGUGGCAACUCGCACAGCCUUAAUUGAAGAAUCAAGACGCCUGCCUAGCCGUUGUUGUGAGGGCUCCUCCUCAGUGGAGCCUGCCGUCUUGUCUUGUCUGGUCUUGUUUUGUCUUGUCUAUUAUUAUUAUUUUUAUUUUUUUUUUUAUUCUGUUUUAUCUUCUUGUGAGACUGGUUUUAUUAAGUAGGCCUACCAUUUCCUGGUUCGCCUGGUUUUAUUUUAUUUUAUCUCUGGACUGUUGCGUGUGCCCACGCUUCUGUGAUCGGGCUGAAGCAAUCCUUUGCCCAAGUGUUGUGCCGGGAAUUUUAAAUUGCCUCCGUUGCCGGUCUCAGCCUGUGGGGAGCCAGACCGGCUUGCGAUUGAGGCUUGGACAAUUACUACCAGCACGAUUGGUAGUUUGACCCGUGGGGCAUAAGCCUUCGUGUGUGUGUGUGUGUGCGCAUGUACGAUUUCUUUUAUUAAAGUGUGUUUUAGUUUUUUAUGAUCUGUAGCGAGCCAGACGCUCAGUGUCCUUUUAUUCCUUUAACGUAUUUUUCUGUUUUAUUUCAGUGAACGGAGGACGUGCCAGUGGCCCUGGGACCUCAGGUGGUGGGUCGUUUUCACACUUUCUGUUGUACAGCACUGGGUGGGCUGCAGUGAUUCCUUUUUUUUUUUUUUUUUUUUUUUUUUUUGUGUGUGUGAUUUUCUUUUGGGUCCACGGCUGCUGGUAAGUCCAAGUUCCAUCAUUAUUUUAUUGUACUUUUAGGACACUGUCAACAAAGACGCUACAUUUUGUUCUUCUAAUAUUUUAUCCUUUAUUUCUUUUACUAUAAAUAAAACUGUUUUAAUAUUGGA